rnacentral:rRNA from 1 species
AUCGAACGCUGGCGGCAGGCCUAAUACAUGCAAGUCGAACGAGUGGCGGACGGGCGAGCAAUGGAGUGGCAACUGCCUGAUGGAGGGGGCUAACGACUGGAACCGUUAGCUAAUACCGCAUACGACCGGUUGUGGCGAGGUGGGAUUAGCUAGCGGGUGGGGUAAAGGCUCACCUAGGGGACGCUCCCUAGCUGGUCUGAGAGGAUGACCAGCCACACUGGAACUGAGACACGGCCCAGACUCCUACGGGAGGCAGCAGUGGGGAAUAUUGGGCAAUGGGCGCAAGCCUGAUGCAGCCAUGCCGCGUGUAUGAAGAAGGCCUUCGGGUUGUAAAGUUCUUUCAUCGGGGAGGCGUUACCCAAAGAAGAAGCACCGGCUAACUCCGUGCCAGCAGCCGCGGUAAUAC